UACAGAGGGUGCUAGCGUUGUUCGGAAUCAUUGGGCGUAAAGGGCGUGUAGGCGGUUUGUUAAGUCAUGUGUGAAAUCCCUCGGCUCAACCGGGGAACGACGCAUGAAACUGGCAGGCUAGAGUACCAAAGAGGGGGGUGGAAUUCCCGGUGUAGCGGUGAAAUGCGUCGAUAUCGGGAGGAACACCUGUGGCGAAGGCGGCCCCCUGGUUGGAUACUGACGCUGAUACGCGAAAGCGUGGGGAGCAAACAGG
rnacentral:rRNA from 1 species